CAACUACUCCCUCUGUCCCAAAUUUCUUGUCUCAGAUUUGUCUAGAUACGGAUGUAUCUAAUACUAAAAUGUGACUUGAUACAUCCGUAUCUAGACAAAUCUAAGACAAGAAUUUUGGGACGGAGAGUACUUU
rfam:Triticum aestivum genome assembly, contig: Triticum_aestivum_CS42_TGACv1_scaffold_221193_3B